GGUUUCUCUUCUGGAGAUCCAUUGCACUGGAGUUACCUAUGCAAGCCCAGGACAGGGUGAAAGGAAACAUAAGAAAAGGCUGGGAAGAGUACAUCUGGUGCUGGGAUCAUGAUCCAGUGCAAACCUCAGCCAGCAAAGCAGUUUCAGGAACUAAGAUAUACCACUUGUGCGGCAUUAAAUCCAGAACUGUUCUACAAAAAAUUUUGGUAUGCUUAUUGAUGGAACAGAAUACAAAUGAGUGUGAAUAUUGCCUCACGACUGGAAUGAAUAACAACUUCCUUAUUUAAUUAAGCCGUUUGAGAUUUGCAUUUGUGCUCACUGAAGCAGUCUCUCGUUUCCUGUGUUAUCAUGGCUGCACCUCAGCUCAGAGGAAGAGUCCUAACAAAAUCACACACUGAAGUGGUACAGCUCUGGGCAGUUUUCAGAUCUCAAGUGACCUCAUGGAAUUGGCAUCUAAUUGUAUGCUCCCAGCUCCCACACUGGGCCAUGGAAACUCUUCUGGAAACCCUGGAAAGGAAUGAUGACAUGAAUUCAAUUUAAACAGCGUAUAUUAUAAAAGGUGUUAUUAUGUGUCACUGCAGACAUAAUAAUUUUGUCUCUCCAUUGUGUCCCCCCAGUUCUAGCCUUCCUAAAGUAUAUCCUGAAGCUUUGCAUUAAAUGGAAAUAAUUUGUUCCUCUGUUGAAAGGGAAUGUUCUGAUGCAUGUCUGAUAAAGUCAUCAAGAACACCUGUUAUUGUGUGCCAUAAUGGCCCACCAGAGUGUUUGAUUAGAGCAUUAUCCUUGUCAUGUUGAUGAGCUAAGGUAUGAUCUACCUCAAGAGGCUAAAUGGAAGACUUGAAGGAUAAAAAGAUCUGUUGUGCACUACAUGCAUGAUCUUGUGACUGAAAGCAUCGCAAGAGAUUAAGACAGCUCACUAGAUGUGUAGAAUGAGACAGUAUGUGUAAAUUAGCUUUGUUUACCAACAUUGAUAUGUUGUGAUUAUUCUAUCUAGCUUCACUUUAGCUUAAGAAUAAACUAGGGAAUACUCCA